UCAGCAGGCCGCCUUAUCGCUUUCCAUUUUUUGGGAAGAGGAAAGUCCGGACACCAUAGGGAAGCAUAGCGGCUAACGGCCGUCGUCCGCAAGGAUAGGACUAGUGCAACAGAAAGGAUGUACAGGUAAUGCUGUAGUGAAAUCGUGUAAACUCUAUGCGGUGAAAUGCCACGUAAACCUGCGCUUGAGGGUUCCCGCCCGAUGUAGGAGGGUAGGCAGAUGGAGUGCAUGGGUAACUAUGUGCCUAGAUAAAUGAUAAGGGUCCACGAAGUGGAUACAGAAUCCGGCUUACAGGCCUGCUUUUUUU
rnacentral:RNase_P_RNA from 1 species